UUAACUCAAAUUUGUAUGGAUUUGGAACGUUUGCAUACGUUUGCCGCUAGGGGCGCUGUUUCAAUCGCAUACAAAUUUGAGUUA
rfam:Bombyx mori DNA, contig: Bm_scaf29_contig18718, strain: p50T/Dazao, build 2, whole genome shotgun sequence.